GAAUAAGUAUCUCUGAGUCAUUCUAAUAUCCAACUGGGGUUGAGGACCACUGGUGAAGUGAACAAGAAAGACUGACAGGGCAUGAUUCCAGAUCACGAUUUCAGAACGCAUCCUGGCCGGCAGGGAGCUGCCCGAGUUAUCCUCAGGAACACCUUGGCCUCCUGAGAAUCUGCCCAACCAAAAUUCCUGGGAGCAGGGCCAGACUCACUCAGGCGAUUUCUGGUCUUGCCGGGGAAUCAGUUUUGAGCCAGAACCUAUUCCAAGUUGGGAGGGCGAGGGUAGGAGGUGAUGACAGCUCCCUGAUGUUGUGAUUCUCUAGGUGCCUGGGUUCCAACCCUUGUUUGCCCCCUAAAUACUGCCUACUCAUGUGUAAGUAUCACUUUUAUUAAAACCUUGACCAAGAGGCUGAGGUUGUGAAGCCCUUUAUGAACUAACUUCCCGCCUGCCCUGCCCACAUUUCACCUACAUUCCAGCCAUGAUUUCUCCCACUCAAGGUCAUGUGCUGCUGCCU
rnacentral:lncRNA from 1 species